GAUGAAGAACGUAGCGAAAUGCGAUAAGUAGUGUGAAUUGCAGAAUUCCGUGAAUCAUCGAAUCUUUGAACGCACAUUGCGCCUUCUGGUAUUCCGGAAGGCAUGCGUGUUCGAGAGUCAUUAACAACCGUUUCGAUCCCUUUCUUUCAGAAAUUACAAAGAGGAAAAGGGUUUGGUUAUGGUGGAGGAGGGAAAGGGAGCGUUUAGCCUGUAAAAAAAGAGGCUGUGUUCCGCCUCCCCCCCAAAAUUGUACAGGCGGUCGUGUGCGCCCACGCAUCGAGGUGUUGUAAAAGCUGCCACGGCACUUUUCACCUGUGCAGUGCGAGAUUGGCCAGCCGGUUUAAAAACCCCUCCAAACAAUCAAAGGUUGACCUCGGAUCAGGUAGGGAUACCCGCUGAACUUAAGCAUAUCAAUAAGCGGAGGA
rnacentral:misc_RNA from 1 species